GCCUGAGAGGCUUUACAAAAACUCACUCAGAAAACUUGCUUUCAACAGUAAGUUAUCAAAUAUAUAUCAAACCAUACUUGUGUCUUUAUAAACCACAGUGCCAAACUGCAGAACAUUGUAACACCUGCUGGAAACAAAGAGUUGCAUGUGGCCUACAGUAAACACGAGUUGAAAUGUUUAAAUCAGGGCAUUUAAGAGAUUAAUUAGUAAGCUUACAAACAAAGCCAAAAAAGAAUUGCAGCAAACAAACAAAAAUGUUUUUGAACGAAUUGAUUGAGUGAAUGAUUCAAUGAAUCACUCGUAAAAACAGUUGCUUGUUUUGUUGCUGAAUGAAUGAGAUAUAGAUGAAUCAGUUAACGACUCACUCAAAGAAAUUUCAGUUUAUAAUGCUAUCAGCAGUAGCUAUACACUGACUAAAAUUAAGAGACCAAAAUAGAGAACAACAAACAUUUCCAUGUUUUUUUAAUAUCUUGCAACAAAAAGGUUAUUAGAGUACUACAGUAAAACUCCUGACCUAUACGUGUUCAUAUCUGACACAUCUAGGCUUCAAAUGCCAUUUCAUUGUUGUUUUGGAUUAAGGAUUUGCAGAUUUAUGAACUGCAGCUUUAAGGGGAGGAGUUCAUCUGAGACCUUCUCCUUUACUUGACAAAGAGUGAAUCAGUUGAACAGCAGUUUGUGCUGAAUACAUUGUGCAAAAUGAUUCUCUCCUUCCACAAAAUAGUUUCCUUCCCUACAGUAAAUAAUAUUCUGAGCAGCAAGAGAUGUGGUUACACCUGGAAAAUGAAGAUUGAUGAUAAUGAAUUUUAUGCUGAUGAUUAAUUGUCAUACAAAUAAUUGCAAUUUAAUACUGAUUUGUUCAUGUUACUUACAGUGUAAGUCAUUCAAGCCUAAUAAGUCAUUUUAUUUCUUGGAAUCGUAUAUAAUAACAUUUUAAUAAAAUAGGCAUACAUGAUUUACUUUAAUGCUGUGAAAAUUAAUAUAAUAUAAUCAAAUAUAAUAAUAAUGAAGACCUUUGUUUAUCUUUAUGUACUUUACAACAGUGUUUUUAUUCUUUGGCAAAAUGUGAUUGAAAUUUAAACUGCACAAUUAUUGCAUUUAUCUCAAAUAAUUGGGAUUAAAUCAAAUAACUGUGAUUAGACGAUUAAUCACUAAUCACUACAGGUCUAUGGUUGGCUUGUAAGUACCAAAAGUAGAGAAAUAUUUCAAACAACAUAAAACUAUACAAGGGGCGGAGCUUCCAGAGGAGACUUCAGAUUUUUCACUUGUCAUGUCAUGUUAUUUUGCUCUGCUUAGGCUCACAGUAUGUUGCUGUACAUGGUCAUUUGGAUCUUAAUCUUUGCAGAUGUCACUCUUGCAGAAGCCAUAACCUCAGAACACACAGAAGUGCAUGCAAAGGAGUCCGAGAACAUAACACUAUCCUGUAGCUAUUCCUCGGCAUACAGUCUCCUUUGGUAUCGACAGCAUCACACAUCAGCUCCUCAUUUCCUGAUGCUCAUCUUACAAAGCUCUGGAAAAGUAAUCCAAAGUUCAGACGAGCGCCUGUCAGGAAAACUGAACGCGGAGAAAAAUCGUGUUGAUUUGGAAAUCCCCUCUUCCACAGUACAAGACUCUGCACUGUAUUUCUGCGCUCUGCAGCCCACAGUGACAGGAAAUCAAAUGCUACUGUACAAAAACCUGACAUCAUGAGAUCUCAUGGAGUUUAUCAUGCUCAUUAUUCACUCAGUUAAAGGGAGGAGCUUCAAGCAGUGUAAAGAUCUCCAGUGUCAUCACAGAUGUGCCAUUCAGCACAAUGCUGCUCACCACAAUGAUCCUGCUCUAUGCUGUUGGGAGUGGAAGGCUUGAGAGUCUCAUUACAUCAGACCAAACUGAGCUCUUUCAUGAGGAGGGUGACAUUAUCACGUUGUCCUGUAGCUACUCAACAGUAAUUAGUUUGCACUGGUACCGCCAAAAUCCCAGAUCAGCUCCUGA